GCAGACGGCUCAGUAACGCGUAGUCAACCUACCCUAUGGACGAGAAUAACCUCGGGAAACUGAGAAUAAUGCUCGAUAGAACAUUAUACCUGGAACGGUUUAUGUUUCAAAUGAUUUAUCGCCGUAGGAUGGGACUGCGGCCUAUCAGUUUGUUGGUGAGGUAAUGGCCCACCAAGACUAUUACAGGUACGGGCUCGGAGAGGAGUAGCCCGGAGAUGGGUACUGAGACACGGACCCAGGCCCUAUGGGGCGCAGCAGGCGAGAAAACUUUGCAAUGUGCGAAGGCACGACAAGGUUAAUCCGAGUGGUUUCUGCUAAAGGAACCUUUUGUCAGUCCUAGAAACACUGAUGAAUAAGGGGUGGGCAAGUUCUGGUGUCAGCCGCCGCGGUAAAACCAGCACCUCAAGUGGUCAGGAUGAUUAUUGGGCCUAAAGCAUCCGUAGCCGGCUCUGUAAGUUUUCGGUUAAAUCUGUACGCUUAACGUACAGGCUGCCGGGAAUACUGCAGAGCUAGGGAGUGGG
rnacentral:rRNA from 1 species